rnacentral:rRNA from 1 species
UACGUAGGUGGCAAGCGUUGUCCGGAAUUACUGGGCGUAAAGGGUGCGUAGGCGGUUUUUUAAGUCAGAUGUGAAAUUCCGGGGCUCAACCUCGGAAUUGCAUUUGAAACUGGAGAGCUAGAGUGCAGGAGAGGAAAGCGGAAUUCCUAGUGUAGCGGUGAAAUGCGUAGAUAUUAGGAAGAACACCGAUGGCGAAGGCAGAUCUCUGGGCCGUAACUGACGCCGAGGAGCGAAAGCGUGGGGAGCGAACGGG